rnacentral:tRNA from 1 species
GCCGGAAUUGCUCAUUUGGGGAGCGUUAGACUGAAGUUGUUUACGCAACAGUCAUCUGAAGGCCCCCCGGUUCAAUCCCGGGUUCCGGCA